rnacentral:lncRNA from 9 species
GUGGCUUUUUCCCUUGGCGUACUGCAUUUUUCUUUUGAUCCUAGGUGAUGCCCAAUGGGUUCCUGUCACAGGGGAUCUGAGCUUGCUCUUCCUUCCGCCUGCGGAUGAUCCCCUAUCUUCUAUAACCUUCACAGUCUGAGUCCUUGUCUUUCAAGUCUCAUAUCAACGGCAGCCUCACUGGAACCCUCCACCCAUCACUCCCAAGCAUCACCCUCAUUGAUGUUCUUCACAGUUCUUAUCAUUCUUGUGCGUUAUUUGCUGCUCCUUGUAUACUACCUUCCUUACGGAACAGUGAUCUUCAAGAAAGCAUCAAUGGGCUUAGCACAGGGCAGGGCGCAGCAGCUUCCGGAGCUUUUCUGACGGGGAGCAAAUUCAUCUGGAAGCGGCCGUCUCUACUUGCGGCACCGCUGAUCCAAGGAUCCUGCUCUUUUCAUAGUGCGACCUGCUCUUUUGAAAUUAACUCAAUGCGUUUCCCCUCCACUUUUCCUGUGCCCGCGCGCGCGCGCGCACACACACACACAACACGCACACCAACACGUACUCAUAGGAGCUCUCGGGCGCCAAAUGCGCGCCCCCUGAGGGCAGUGAUGCAGCCUGGUUUUGCUCGCAGCCGUAUUCUCGGUGCGUGGCACAGCGAGGGCUCACAACACCUUCCUUGACUGAGUGAGGCACUCUGACCCCUGCAGUGGGGGCUGGCGUGGCUCUGCUACGCCCUCCGUUCUCAUCCCGCCCCCCGCCCAUGGUCCCAUCCAGAAUGAGCCCAAGGCGGGGGGUCCCUUCCCCGCCUUCGCCCCCUCCUUCGUGUGCUAGUCGGUUCGUUCGCUCGUUCAUUCAUUCAGUAGUACAUCCAUUUCAGCCGAUCCCGCCUCUCUCCGAGCAUCUGGCCCGCGCGCGCGACACCCCUGGGAUCUGGCCUGACCCUGGCCCCCCAGUCCCCCGGGGCUCAGCCACGUCCCCUUCCCGCCCCGCCCCCUCUUGGGGCCAAUCGGGACUGGUGGGCCGGGCGGGCCCGGAGCCGGGGCGGGGCCUCGCUCUCCCACUACCCACGGCGGCGCCGCGGGGCUGCUGGGCUCAGCCGGGCGCUGGCGGCUGGGUGGCGCUUCCUGCCACGCCGGGCCUGGGCCGCGCCAGCGCUGCUCCGCCGAGGGCCGGGCGUCGGCGGCCGCCGCCGGGCCGGGGAUUCGGUGACAUUUGCCAGCGUGGCACAGUACUUCACCAAGAGGGAGUGGUUGAGGCUGGACCCUGAGCAGAGGACAGCGGCGCCUUGAAGGAAUGUGACCUCUGCGGGAGUUCCUGUUUGGAAUCCGGCCUCUGUCUCUCCCCGUCCUCAUCAGCCCAUCCCGGGCGGUGGAUCGAGCUGGGCAGCCUGAAAGCAUCUGGGUGACCCCACCGCGGACGAUGGGUGAAGACGCCCAGUCGCAGGAUACGGCGUCCACCAGCUCCCCGAGGGCGGGCGAGCCCAGCGCCGAGGUCAAACAGAGCGGGGACUCGGAGGGGCGGGGAGGGAGCCCGCAGAACCCGCCUGUGGAGCAUCACUUUGCCUGUAAAGAGUGUGGGGAUGCCUUUCGGCUCAAAGUCCUGCUGGUGCAGCACCAGAGAAUUCACAGCGAGGAGAAGGGCUGGGAGUGCGGCGACUGCGGGGAGGUCUUCCGGGGGGCGUCGGAGUUCAACGAGCACCGCAAGAGCCACGCGGCCCCCGAGCCCCGGCCCGGCCCCAGCCGCGCCCUGGAUGAAGCGGCGGCGAAGGGGGAGCAGAUGGAGAGGGAGGCGAAGCCCUUCGAGUGCGAUGAGUGCGGCAAGAGGUUCAAGAAGAACGCGGGCCUCAGUCAGCACCUGCGUGUGCACAGCAGGGAGAAGCCCUUUGGCUGCGAGGAGUGUGGGCGCGCCUUCAAAGUGAACACCCACCUCUUCCGACACCAGAAGCUGCACACCUCGGAAAAGCCCUUCGCCUGCAAGACGUGCAGCCGGGAUUUCCUGGACCGCCAGGAGCUGCUCAAGCACCAGCGAAUGCACACCGGCCACCUGCCCUUCGACUGCGACGACUGCGGCAAGUCCUUCCGAGGGGUCAACGGCCUGGCCGAGCACCAGCGCAUCCACAGCGGGGCCAAGCCCUACGGCUGCCCGCACUGCGGCAAGCUCUUCCGGAGGAGCUCGGAGCUCACCAAGCACCGGCGCAUCCACACGGGCGAGAAGCCCUACGCGUGCGGCCAGUGCGGCAAGGCCUUCCGGCAGAGCUCCAGCCUCCUGGAGCACCAGCGCAUCCACACCGGCGAGCGGCCCUACGCCUGCGGCGACUGCGGCAAGGCCUUCCGCGGGCCCUCCGACCUGAUCAAGCACCGGCGCAUCCACAGCGGACUGAAGCCCUACGAGUGCGACACGUGCGGGAAGGCCUUCCGCAGGAGCUCCGGCCUGAGUCGCCAUCGCAGGACCCACAGCGGAGCGAGGCGCUGCGAGUGCAGCGAGUGUGGCCGCGUGUUCAAGAGGCGGUCGGCGCUGCAGAAGCAUCAGCCCAGCCACCACGAGUAAGACCGGCCGCAGCCCCACGGCUGCCGGCCGCCGGCCGCCGGCCGAGGCGCCCAGGGCCCUGGGCGAGGGGGGCAGAGUCAAAGGAGAUGAACCGUUUUGUAGCGCUUACACAUUUGUCGUCGGAAAGGUUGAAGCCAACCUCUACUGCCACCAGCAAUUUAUAAGUGUCCGUGUUUCCCCUUUUGCCUAUGAGAGUAGCUUCUAGCAUUUCGAUGGAUUCCGGCUGCUUCAGCUGGCCUGAGGUACCUUCCAGGUCGUGCAAUCCACAGGCCUUGAACCUGAGAGAGAGAGAAGAGAAGCCUGGCUGUGGGGGUGGAGGUGGGGUUCGUCGGGGGACACCGAGACCCGCAGCUAUUCGGGGAUGGCCUUGAGAGAGCGAAGCCAACCUUCCCGAAGAGAAGCUCGCCCCAGACUGCUUUGACCUACUUGAAUUUAUAAAUUUUUAGGGCUGUAAAUAGGACAAUCACAUGUCUGAUAAAGAUUUAAUUUAUUAAUUUAGUGAUACAUACAUAUUGUAAAUUGCAUAUGACAUAGAAUAAUAUAUUAAUUCAGAAAAUCAUUCCCUUUUUCCCUAGCGCCGCUCCAUGAGGUCACUUAACUCUAACUCCUCUUACACAUUCCUAACCUCACCGCCUUCACCAGCCUCAGAGUCCCUUUGGCGUCAUCGGUUCCAAAGCACAUCCAGUGGCUUCCAUCCAUCCGAGCUGUGGGCCAUGUAGCACUGUGACAAGGCUCUCGCUAGAAGUCGCCUCCCAAGCCAUAAGUACAUGUUCACGUGACAUUAGAAUGAUUGCUGUUGUUGUUGUUUCAUUAAACUGAAGGUGUUCCUUUUUUGAAACGACCUCUCACCGACUUCGUGAAAGCAUCUCAAGCGACACUGUCACUGAGAGGGCCUGCGCUUAAGAAAAAGCACUGAAUCGGAGUUCGGUUGCUCUCGUGGCCCUUUCUCUUAAGCCCGUGCCAUCUGGUGACGCCCAUCCACAUCCAGAGCUACCACCGACCGGGGUUCGUUUCGGCCUCAUGGGUCUUGUCCUCCAGCAGCACUCCUGGGUUCAAAACAAGGUAGGAACGUCUCAAGGACUCAAGGGUGAGGUGGCGCCUCCUCUUCGGAACCCGCAGCCUCUCCUCAGGUGGGGCCCAGCUGGUAUUUCGCCCAGCCUCCAUGUCCCCCUCCGGGAAAUGAACGUGAUCACGGGACGACCUCCGAAGCUCCCCGCAAGGACCGCGGUGCCGCCCGCGCCCGGCUCGGAGGCACGCGCUCGGCGAAGGGCCUCGGCCGUCAUCGUCGUUGUCGUCGCUGUUGUUCCGUGACUCCUGGGGACAGACCCAGGCCUCCUGACUCCUGGUCUCCUCUUCUUUGUCUCGCGCGAUGACUUCAAAUACUGUUUCCGUUGUCUUGCAUGCGAAUCGUAUGUUCAUCUCCUUUGACCAAUUACCGAGUUCCCUUUGGAUAUAUUGACUUUAGACAGCAGUUCUUUCUUCAUCGACUGUGAUGAUGGCCUUUCCAGUUUUAUUGCUUUGCUCGUGUAACAGGUUUAUUACAUUUCUGUUGUGCCAGCUUUUGAUUUUCACGUAUCCAGCAUUCAUAGGUGUCGGCUACGCCGUAGCUUCCAUUGCUUCAGUAGUUACAGGUGAUUACAUUUUUUUCUAGAAUUUUAAUUACAAAUGAAAAGUUGAAAGCCCUGCCCCACCAGAAGCUGGAUGUGCCAGGCGGGCAGGCUGGAUGGAAAUGGGCCAGAGACGCAGGCUCGCUCAUCCAAGACGCAGGCCGCACAUCUGUGGGCAGUGCUGGACUAUCCAGCCUGGCCACUCAGGCCCUCGAGAGGAAUUUCCAUCUCGAUUGGCCAGCGCACUCUGACUGUUCCUCAGUAGAGCCCUGGCCGUCAGCCACAGGGCCGGGCCUCACCUCCAUCAAAGGGGUGGUCCAAACUUGGUUGGUCUUGGCGGCAGCAGGCCGAGGCCUUGGCCAUGCUUGGCGUGGAUUCAGUGCCUGAGCAGUGGAUCCACCCGAGAGACAUCCCAAACACACGGAGACUCACUCGAGGGACGCUGUCACGUGGAUGGCCUCCUCCUCCUCCUAGCGAGGGACCCUGGAUCUAGAAAGAGCUCGGUUUGGUGGCUUCCGCUUUCGACAACUAGGGGGAACUUCACCCGUGUGUUCUGACAUCCCCUCCUGCGGCCACACCUUAGAGGGGCAAAAGAGCAAAGGCUCGGAGAAGAACCGCGCCCCUCUGAAGGCUGCGCCACGCCCGGGCUGUGACUUGCAGCAGCCGUGCCCAGGAGGGGCACCAAAAGGCGGGUUUGGAGGGCACCAACGCCCUUCUGACAAUGGCCUGUGUGGCAUAGAAAUAGAAGUUGGUCAUCCUGGGGCUGGGCUGUCACUUCCGCCAGCCCCCCACCCCCCACCCCGGGAGGAACGGCAGCAAGGGCCGGCCAGCAACCUGGCCCCUCCAGUGGCCUGGAGAGCCCGCAGGCAGAAGCCAGCCUCGCUGUGCCGUGACUUCACAGCAGCUGGGCCUGGGGUAGAGGGGGCGCUCGAGGACUUGCCGAGGAAGCGGGCCCUUCUGAUGGGCCCCCCGAGGCUGGGAAGCAGGGUCCCACAGUGACCCUGUGACCUUAGCUAGAAGGUCCUCUGGAAUGGCCUCCGGGCCACGGCAGUGUCUCUCUGCGACAUCUCCAUCCUGAGCCCCGGGCUGGAGAGAAGCUGACGGCACUUGUUACAUAGCGAUUCUUUUUGCUCUGGGGGCCUCAGUCCUUGCAGUCGUUGUGAAUCUGUGUCUGAAAUCACUGCUUCCCUCUCUCUUUUCAAGCGGUUAUGACGUAUGUGCUACAACUGUCAUUUGGGAGCGAGCGCGGACGGCCGCGGGGAGGGGGGCGUCUGGCACCUUUGCAGGAAACACCCUGCCAUUUGUUGCCCGGGUCUUAGGAAAGAUCCAGAUGCAGUAUUAACUUGGAACCUAGCAUCGUGGGCAUCACCGCUCCAUGUGUCUCCGGCCAGGACGCGGCAUCUUGGCAUCCGUCAUACCUUCUUUUUUUUCCCAUUCUCAGUUCUAUGAUUUUCUCUCAAACCAACUGUCCUCCAGAGCGAACGCAGCUUUUCCACCCUGUGUUUGCGGGUGAAGUCUGUGCGCUCUGCAAACGCAAGCAGUCUGUGGCUUUAACGUGUGUCCUGUAGUUGUGCCGAGUCCAGGCUUUGCCCUAGGUCCCUGGGGGGUGGCUUUCCUGGGACUCUAGGUGUACCGCUACGUCAGAUGCAAAAUGUGACCAGGCUUCCUGUCGCGUGUGCUCGUCUAUGCAUUCGUGGAUCUACCUCAUCUCAUUUUUCUUUCUAAUCACAAAGGCAAACGGAGAGCAGGUGGCUUACCCAGAAUGCCGGCUCUCAUGCGAAAUGUGUCCUUUUCUUAUAUCCUGGAACCGUCCAUUGCUUUUAUUAAAGUUUGGGAUACUUGCUGAAAUUUUCAAAAAGAAAGUAAUUGUUUACCACUUUUGCUGCUUAAUAUGAUUAACUGUGUGGAUUAGUUGUAACCUGCCCACUGUUGCAUUUUCAAAAUGAGCCCCACCCAGUCUUGGUGGGCACCUUUCUUGGUGUUGUGCUCUGCGUGCCCGGGCUCCCCUUCCCCUGCCCUCGUUGUGUGUCACGUGACCCCCACCCCACUCCAGGCUACGUUCCUUCAGUCAGAACUCAGCACCUGCCUUGGGGGCAGCAACUAGUCGACAGAGCUGGAGACGUCGGGGCUGGGCCUUUCGGGUUCUCCAUCAGUGAAGAAAACUGAGAGAGAAGUUUCUGGCUGGUGCUGGAAGAAAGGGGGAGCCACGAGGGAUCGAGAGGAGUUGCCCCCAUGGGCAGCACCGGCUUGAAGGUCUGUGGGCUCCUGCUGGGCACCCAGAGCCGUCCCAGGGUGGCCCGCCCUGUUACGUUCUAGGGUUUCAAGCAACUGCCCUGACUGGGCUGCCUGUGUCCCCGCCAUAGAGUCCCCUGACCCGAGCCAGCUUGAGUGGGUCUCUGCUUUUUGCAGUCUGUCGAGAGCAAUUGCAUUUUACCAUUUGGCUGCUUCCCGAGACGAAUCACAUGGCUGGCCUUCCUCCCGUGCUACCCCGUGGCCCUCCGUCCAGGACCAAGGCCCCCUUCCCCCCCACCGGCUGUCGUGAACACCUGUCUUAGAUGUGGUCCUAUAUUCGGUUCGCUAAGAUGAGUGAAAACCUGUGCCCUCUGGUCUCCAUGAGUUUGACCAAUGCUUCUCUGUCUGGGCAUUGUUCCUGUCCUGCCCCAUGGUUGCCCCGGGAAAUGAGUUCAAUCACCACCGCCUACCCUGUUCUCUCACCACUUCCAGCAAAUCCGUCAGAUCGGGGAGUUGAUAACCUCUGUAUGGCUCGUGUACUUUCGUUCUGUGGUUCUCCUUGCACCCGUUGGGCUGUUUACUUUCAAAAGGUGACAUGGUCUCUUUAAACAUGGCCUUCAAAGUUACUUGCAUAUCUGAGAACAGCUGUGUCCUGCCCCAGUUUGUAUUUGGGUUGUUGGCGCUCUUUUCUCCUUCCUCCCCCGUCUCCUUAACUUAUCUGUCUUACGGCACUUACUAUAAUUGGCCUUGCACUAGAGCUUCGCCCGCCCCCGCCCCCGCCCCCGCCCCACCCGUUAGAUUGUGAGCUCUUAGAAGACAGGGGUGGCCCCUCGUGUCCGAUGCCCCUACCAGACCUAGCACAGUGCCUUGCAUCAAGUAGAUUUCAAUAAAUAUAUGUUAAAUG